rnacentral:rRNA from 1 species
GGACUACUAGGGUAUCUAAUCCCGUUCGCUCCCCUGGCUUUCGUGUCUCAGCGUCAGCAAGUCCCCAGCAGACUGUCUUCACCUUUGGCGUUCCAGACGAUAUCUACGCAUUUCACCGCUCCACCGUCUGUUCCAUCUGCCCCUAGACUGCUCAAGACCGCCAGUAUAUCCAGCCAUUCCCCGGUUGAGCCGGGGGAUUUCACAAGAUACUUAACGGCCCGCCUACACACGCUUUAAGCCCAGUGAUUCCGCCUAACGCUUGGCACCUCUGUCUUACCGCGGCGGCUGGCAC